CAUUCCAAAUGGAACGGCCAGAAAGAGUCCGACAACUGUAGUCUGCAGUGGGUCAGUUGCAGCAGGCUACCUGUGCACAAUUCUGCCGUUUGCAAGACUGUUGGAAAUCCUAUAAACUGACUACGCCACGGAUGAAACUCGAAAUGCUUUUUCAGGCAUGGAUCCUACAACAGUUGCAGUAUUGAAAGCUGCUAAUAUUAGCACAGAAUUGCUUCCCAGUCUGUCUAAGGUGGACUUGCGUGACCUCUUUCCGGGGCCUGAGCACUUUUUCCGAAGGAAAGCCAUUUGGAGGACCACUCAUGGUGAAAAUGAGUGUGAAGAACUGGAGCAGCCUCACCCAGGCACCUCCUCUGGAACUUAUGAUGGUGCCACAAUUCCAACUACCCCAAACGCUUUGUCCACUCCUUCUUCCUUCCCUGCACCUGUCCCCUCUUCAAAGCCAGGAGACAGUGCCAGCAGAACUGUACAGCUUCAAAGUCCACAAUAUGUUGUAUACACAGACACAGAGCUGGAGCUGUCAAGAACCACCUUUUUUGAAAAACAGCGUGCUGGACAAGAAGAAGACUUCACACUCUCCAAAGAGCUUCGCUGUCGCAUAAUAAGGAACACAGUAACAAGCAUGAUCGCCAUAAAGAGAGCUGCAGGCGAUGACUUCCGAUAUCCAAGUAGCCGUGAGCUAACUGCGAUGGCUCAGCGUCUGAUUGUAUACUACCCAAUGCUGCGGGACAGGUCUGCAGCCAGUGGAGCUGAGUGGGAAUCUGUGAAGAAGCAGCUUUUGAGAAGGGUCCAAAAUGUGACAACCCCCAAAAAGAAGCAGGGAGCAACUCCUUCAAGAAAGAGGCGACUGGCCAUCAGCUUUGAGAGCAGCAGCCAUGGGUCACCCACUGAUGACAGCGGGUCCAAUGCUUCAACUUUGAGCUUGGAAACAUCACCGCAGUCUGGAGGCACUUCCCCGGAGGCUGAACAGGUGGAUGGGCCUGAAACUACUGACAGCCCACAGAACCAGGCCAGACACUACAAAGUUCUGCAGGAGCUAUACAAAUCCAAGCCCAGGCCCAACAAGAAGGAUGUUGCCCAGCUGUUGGACCUGGAAUACCAAGCAAGACGGGCUUACAUCGACUCUGAUGUUCUGAAGGAGCACGACAGACCUACCAAGAUUCUUCAAGCAUAUCCCUGCUUCAGAGAAGUGGAUCAUAUAAUGGAUGAACUGCAGCGGAUCCUCAAUCAAGGAAACCCCCACUUCAUACCUGAACUGAAGAACCGCUGGAAGACCUUUUGUGAGAAGAUCCAGUUUUAUGGCGUUUUCAAAAAAGUCAUGAGACCUCCACUGGCUGAUAAAGUAAAGCGAGGGGUUGCGAUGAUGAAAGCUUUGCCAGACGUCUUCCCAUCACCCAUUGCUCCACCCAAGAAGUUGGGGCAUGCAAGUGAGGCCAUUCUUCACAUCUUGAGUCUGUGGAAGACCCCAACGCUUUCCUGAACGCAAGACCGCUCUCCAGCCCUGUAGUGAUCGUCUGUGAGAGCAACUGCAUUCUGGCCAUCGGAACCAUGCCUGUGCUGAUCUUCCCAAAGGAGGACAUCUCAGUGUGAUGUACAUCAUGGCAUGCUGCUACACCUUUCACCUCACAUACCCCAAGUGCAUAACCACACUCCUCUCUGUGCUGCAGACAGAGGUCCUCAUGGAUGCCAUCCAUGACCAAGACAUGACUUCUUCAUAUAAAAAAGCUAUGGCUGAGUGGAGGAAGUUCAGAGGACUUUUUGCAGUGUAGGAGAAGUAAAGAAGGGGAAGUUCAUACGUCAGGUGGCAGAUGAAGAUGGACAGAAUGACUUUUCAGCCCAUCAGGUCAUCCAUGAACAAAUGGAGACAGAUCUUACAUUAUAUGAGAUGGAACAUUUUAAAUUUUACUUCAACAUAAUUGAUGGCACAAUUUACCCCCAGCAUGUUUUCUGCAAAGGCUCAACUAAGUCCAAGUUUGUUCCCUUUGGAAAGCCAUAUUCCUCAUAUACAAUGACUACACCAGUGUUUCAGCAUUUUACAUGAACCCAAAUUUAUCCACUGUGUGCUUUCUUUACAGUAAAUAUGACAGCUAAAAGUUUAAAAAAUAACAACAUUACAUAUAUGCUGCUUUGUUUACAUUUGAACGAGGUAGUGCUGCAUUUAAAUCAGGGUGCAGACAGUUCUGCACAGUGUCUUCCAGAUUUCAACAAGACAACAGGACGACUUGAAACGAGCAGGACAUCGAGAUUAAUCUCAACUUUAACCUUUCAAGAAAACCCAAAGAAGCCAACAUUUUUGAGUCUUUUUUGACAAGAUAAAAAUGAACAAUCAAAGUUCAUCCUCAUCCUCAUCUUCCUCUGAGGAGAGUACUACAAGGCAUCCUUUCGAAGUCCCAGAAGACUACAAGUUGAUGCAAAACCUGGAACAUGGAAGCUGUGGAUUUGUGCCGGAACGUAUGACAAACAACACUGAAGAGCACGAGGCCAUAAAGGUGUCCGAACGGAACUGUCAAGAC